AUGAUCGGACCUGAUCUCUCCAUCGUUGACUGGAAUACCCGCGGGCUAAACGACCAAGGUCGCAAAGACACCGUCCACGCCUUCCUCGCCAAUACUCGCUGUCAUAUCGCUUGCAUCCAAGAGACCAAGCUCGACCACGUCGAUCAACAAACGGCUUCUUAUAUCAGUGGUCAUAGUCUUCGCUCCUUGGCUCACCGUCCGGCCAUCGGCACCAAGGGCGACAUCCUCUUACUCUGGAACGAGGAUCAUGUGGAGGUCUCCAACGUUCACCUCGGCACUUACUUGAUCUCGGCUAGCAUCUCCAUUCGCGCAUGUGGUACCUCCUUCAAGCUCACUACGGUCUAUGGCCCUACAGAUCACGCCGAGAAAGAAGCCUUUCUCUCAGAAGCUAUCGCUGCCAAGCCUUCUGAUGACUCAAAAUGGCUCAUCAUUGGGGAUUUCAACCUUAUCUACCAAGCGGAGGAUAAGAACAACAACAACCUGGACUUCCGCCUGAUGGGUCUCUUCAGAAGAGCCCUCACCAACUGUCAGCUUAAGGAGCUGAAGCUGCAGAACCGGAGGUUUACUUGGAGCAAUGAAAGGGAGACCCCUACUCUUGUGCGUCUGGAUCGGGCUUUCUGCAAUGCUGCUUGGGACCUCAUGUUCGAGAAUCAUGUGCUACAUGCCCUGUCCUCAUCCCUCUCGGACCACUGCCCCCUCCUCAUUUCCAACCAGAGUGGCCCGCGAAAACCGCCUGUCUUUCGCUUCGAGUCCUUCUGGACCAAAAUGCCGGGGUUCAAGGAGGUGGUCUAA
rnacentral:rRNA from 1 species